rnacentral:rRNA from 1 species
CCUAGGGGUGGCAGCAGUGGGGAAUAUUGGACAAUGGGGGAAACCCUGAUCCAGCGACGCCGCGUGAGUGAAGAAGGAUUUCGGUACGUAAAGCUCUAUCAGCAGGAAAGAAAAGGACGGUACCUGACUAAGAAGCCCCGGCUAACUACGUGCCAGCAGCCGCGGUAAUACGAAGGGGGCAAGCGUUAUCCGGAUUUACUGGGUGGAAAGGGAGCGUAGACGGCAGCGCAAGUCUGGAGUGAAAUGCCGGGGCCCAACCCCGGAACUGCUCUGGAAACUGUGAAGCUGGAGUGCAGGAGAGGUAAGCGCAAUUCCUGUUGUAGCGGUGACAUGCGUAGCUAUCAGGUGGACCACCGGCGGCGACGGCGGCUUACUGGACUGUACCUGCCGUUGAGGCUC